AGGGUUUGAUUAUGGCUCAGGACGAACGCUGGCGGCGUGCCUAACACAUGCAAGUCGAACGGAGUAGCUCGGCGGAAGUUUUCGGAUGGAAGCCGAAUUACUUAGUGGCGGACGGGUGAGUAACGCGUGAGUAACCUGCCUUUCAGAGGGGGAUAACGUCUUGAAAAGGACGCUAAUACCGCAUGACAUUCCGGGGCCGCAUGGUUCUGGAAUCAAAGGAGCAAUCCGCUGAAAGAUGGACUCGCGUCCGAUUAGCCAGUUGGCGGGGUAACGGCCCACCAAAGCGACGAUCGGUAGCCGGACUGAGAGGUUGAACGGCCACAUUGGGACUGAGACACGGCCCAG
rnacentral:rRNA from 1 species